CAAAUACUUCCUCCGUUCCGAAAUACUUGUCAUCAAAAUGGAUUAAAAAGGAUGUAUCUAGAUGUAUUUUAGUUCUAGAUACAUCUCUUUUUAUCCAUUUUGAUGACAAGUAUUUUCGGUCAGAGGGAGUACAAG
rfam:Triticum aestivum genome assembly, contig: Triticum_aestivum_CS42_TGACv1_scaffold_500209_6BL